GACAGAUAGUAUGCUGAGUAAAGCGGCCACUAUGGAGAUCCCUAUCAACCGUAACGGAGACACGAGGACGCUGGCGGAGGAUGACAGCCUUGAACAAGUUGCUAAGCUACAGUGGAGCUUAGAUGAGAAGGGGCACACGUGCUCCUUGUAAAAAAACAAAACAAGAAGAAAACAAAAAAGACCCACUUUAUUACAGAAUCCUGUGAAAACAAAUCGUAUUUUAGGCUAAAAGAGGGCGACGCCAUAGAGAAUGAUAGAGCACUCUUCUUUGUAUCCGUCCCAUUAUGGUGUCUGUUAGAGCACAGGCAGGGCCAUUUGAGGUCAACUCCAUUUUGAAGUAGUCACUUUUUGUUCUUCUACUAUUUCUAUGAGUUGGUAAACAAACUGAAAAUGUGCGUACUGCCCCCUGGAGGGUGUUGUCUGAACAGGUAUAAAGGAUGGUGAUUUACUGCCCCCUGGAGGGUGUUGUCUGAACAGGUAUAAAGGAUGGUGAUUUACUGCCCCCUGGAGGGUGUUGUCUGAACAGGUAUAAAGGAUGGUGAUUUUCAGCCCCCUGGAGUUAUGGAAUGUUUCCUCACGAGUAUAAUUCAUUGGCUGAUCCUUCCUGGUGUGACCUGGAUGGAAUCAUGUGAUCCUUCCUUAACCCAUAGGAAGUCCCACCCAGUUGACUACUUCAAAAUGGUGUAAGUCCUCAACAGCGCUGCCCCAUGCUCGA
ensembl:lncRNA